rnacentral:rRNA from 1 species
UCAGGCCUAACACAUGCAAGUCGAACGAACCCUUCGGGGUUAGUGGCGCACGGGUGCGUAACGCGUGGGAAUCUGCCCUUUGCUUCGGAAUAACAGUUAGAAAUGACUGCUAAUACCGGAUGAUGUCUUCGGACCAAAGAUUUAUCGGCAAGGGAUGAGCCCGCGUAGGAUUAGGUAGUUGGUGGGGUAAAGGCCUACCAAGCCGACGAUCCUUAGCUGGUCUGAGAGGAUGAUCAGCCACACUGGGACUGAGACACGGCCCAGACUCCUACGGGAGGCAGCAGUGGGGAAU